rnacentral:pre_miRNA from 1 species
UAUAAGAGAUUUUGAGUUGUUGUUUGUAACGUUUGACCACUCGUCUUAUUCAACUUUUUUUGAAAUUAUUAAUUAUUUUAUUUAUGACUUACUUUAUUAUCUACAAUACUUUAAGCAUAACUUUUCGUUUUUUAUAUUUGUAAAAAAAAUUUGAAUAAGACGAGUGGUCAAACGUUGUAAGCAAAAACUUAAAAUCCCUUAUA